AUGAUGAUGGUGAUGAUGAUGCGAGCGUCAGCUGCAGUGCAUUCUGGUCCUGACCGCAGUGCUGUGAGCGUGUGUCUAUCAGCCGGACGCUGCGAGUUAAACAUGGAGUCCGCUGAUGACUGUCGUGUUUCAAUCGUACAGAAGCUGGUGUGUGUGAUGCUGAGCGUCUGCACUGUAAGAACUGCUCAGGUCCGAUAUAGAUAGAUAUAGAUAUAUAUGAUGAAAAGAUCCUCUGCUUGAGCUCUUCACUAGCUGUUGUAUGAAACGAAACAAAAUAAGUGCAUUCUGUUUUUAAGAUGUACUUGUAUGAUUGUUGCUUUUAAUUUUUUGGUUAUUUUAAAAACCAGGGAAACGGUGUAUGUUGUAAAUAAAGUUCUGAAAGCAUAGGUGCUUCUGUUGGAACGUUUUUUAAGACUGUAUCCUCUCAUUAUUUUGCAGAAAAAUAAAGAAUAUAAGUGAA